rnacentral:rRNA from 1 species
UGCAAGUCGAACGCUUCUUUCCUCCCGAGUGCUUGCACUCAAUUGGAAAGAGGAGUGGCGGACGGGUGAGUAACACGUGGGUAACCUACCCAUCAGAGGGGGAUAACACUUGGAAACAGGUGCUAAUACCGCAUAACAGUUUAUGCCGCAUGGCAUAAGAGUGAAAGGCGCUUUCGGGUGUCGCUGAUGGAUGGACCCGCGGUGCAUUAGCUAGUUGGUGAGGUAACGGCUCACCAAGGCCACGAUGCAUAGCCGACCUGAGAGGGUGAUCGGCCACACUGGGACUGAGACACGGCCCAGACUCCUACGGGAGGCAGCAGUAGGGAAUCUUCGGCAAUGGACGAAAGUCUGACCGAGCAACGCCGCGUGAGUGAAGAAGGUUUUCGGAUCGUAAAACUCUGUUGUUAGAGAAGAACAAGGACGUUAGUAACUGAACGUCCCCUGACGGUAUCUAACCAGAAAGCCACGGCUAACUACGUGCCA